CCUUCGAUAGCUCAGCUGGUAGAGCGGAGGACUGUAGCGAAAAUGUUCCCAGACAUCCUUAGGUCGCUGGUUCGAUUCCGGCUCGAAGGA
rfam:Camelus ferus unplaced genomic scaffold scaffold886, whole genome shotgun sequence.